AUUAAAUAUUAACAUCAACAAUAUGCAAGAGCAUAGUGCAUUUAGUGCAUCAUUUUAUGUUUAUACAAUAUACAUGAUGAUCAAUCAAGUACCAUAUGUUAAGAACUGAAGCCUCUAUAACAUAAGUUGAAUUUGAAGAUUGCAGAAACUAUGAGAAGCAGAUGGAAUUGCAAAUAGUUUAUAAAAAAAUGAAAACAUAAGUAACAAAGAAGGCCACUUGUAUCUUCAAAUAGCACAGGUCCCUGCAAAUCUUCUAAAGCAUUGUGGCAUAUUGUUAAUCCAAAGGACACUAACAAAAUUCCAAGAACUAAAGGAAGUUGGUGUGGCUCACAUUUAGCUUUACUUGAAGAUAACAAAUCUGCUUAUGACCAGAUAAUAAAAUACCAGCAAGCUCAUCUAGCUGCAGCCAGCGAGGUCUGAAUGCCGAGUUCUCUAAAGAAAGAAUAGGAAAAUCCUUAGCGAUCUUGAAACUUUUCAGUUCAAAAAGACAUAGUAGUACAGUAGCAUUUUGAGCUAAAGAAAUCUUUAAAUAAAGAAAACUUGCAAUCUGGAAACUUUUCAGUUCAAGAAGGCAUAGUAGUAUAGUAACAUUUUGAGCUGAAGAAAUCUUUAAAUAAGGAAAACUUGCUUUGGUGAUGUCCUUGUGUAGGAAUUGCAAAUAAUAAUUCCAAAUUUUUAUUAUACUUUGAAAAAGGAAGCAUCCAUUAUUACAGCACGAAGAUAUGAGAAAACCAAGCCUAUAAGAAUCUAAUCUGUCAUUUACAACAUAGUAGUGGUACCUGAAAUUAAAAUGUACCAAGACAUGAAAAUUUCACUUUUGCCUUAGAGGACUACAUACAGAAUUCUGAGAUGAUGUGGGAAGAAAGAUCACCGAGCUAUUUCAGAUCCUGUAAAUUGAAGGUUGUUUCAUAUCCUGCAGCCGAAAUAACAUAAAGCAAAAGCAGUAAAAUUAUAAUUAGACCGUCUAAGUUAAAUAGGUAAAUGUGCAGCGAGAAUGUUGAAAAAACAAAGACGCCGCUCAAAUCCCCUCGUAUCCACAAAUUCACAAGCUAACUGCACAUUAUAGGAAGUACUUUGCAUUGAGGAAAAAUGAUAAUUGCUUCGAUAGUUCGGUAG
rnacentral:lncRNA from 1 species